rnacentral:rRNA from 1 species
UACGAAGGGGGCUAGCGUUGUUCGGAAUUACUGGGCGCAAAGGGCGCGCAGGCGGCCCUCCAAGUCAGGCGUGAAAGCCCCGGGCUCAACCCGGGAAUAGCGCUUGAGACUGGGGGGCUUGAGUUCGGGAGAGGAGAGUGGAAUUCCCAGUGUAGAGGUGAAAUUCGUAGAUAUGCGGAGGAACACCGAUGGCGAAGGCAAUCCCCUGGGCCUGCACUGACGCUCAUGCACGAAAGCGUGGGGAGCAAACAGG